AGCCCCCUUCGGGGGGCAAGUAGAGUGGCGCACGGGUGAGUAACACGUAGGUAAUCUACCUUUGGAUUGGGAAUAACCACCGGAAACGGUGGCUAAUACCGAAUAAUGCAGCGGCACCUAAUGGUGACAGUUGUUAAAGCGGGGGAUCGCAAGACCUCGCGUCUGAAGAGGAGCCUGCGGCGGAUUAGCUAGUUGGUAAGGUAACGGCUUACCAAGGCGAUGAUCCGUAGCCGGCCUGAGAGGGCGGUCGGCCACACUGACACUGACAUACGGGUCAGACUCCUACGGGAGGCAGCAGUCGGGAAUUUUGGGCAAUGGGCGAAAGCCUGACCCAGCAACGCCGCGUGAAGGAUGAAAUCCUUCGGGAUGUAAACUUCGCAAGAACGGGAAGAAUAAGUAAGGGUUAAUAUCCCUUACGAUGACGGUACCGUUUGUAAGCUCCGGCUAACUCCGUGCCAGCAGCCGCGGUAAUACGGGGGGAGCAAGCGUUGUUCGGAUUUACUGGGCGUAAAGGGCGCGUAGGCGGCCACCGCAAGUCGACUGUGAAAUCUCCGGGCUUAACCCGGAAAGGUCAGCCGAUACUGCGGGGCUAGAGUGCAGAAGGGGCAACUGGAAUUCUCGGUGUAGCGGUGAAAUGCGUAGAUAUCGAGAGGAACACCUGCGGCGAAGGCGGGUUGCUGGGCUGACACUGACGCUGAGGCGCGAAAGCUAGGGGAGCGAACGGGAUUAGAUACCCCGGUAGUCCUAGCCUUAAACGAUGAAUGCUUGGUGUCUGGGGUUUUAUAGUCCCCGGGUGCCGUCGCUAACGCUUUAAGCAUUCCGCCUGGGGAGUACGGUCGCAAGACUG
rnacentral:rRNA from 1 species